rnacentral:rRNA from 1 species
UACGUAGGGAGCAAGCGUUGUCCGGAAUCAUUGGGCGUAAAGCGCGCGUAGGUGGCCACAUAAGUCCGUUGUGAAAGUCAAAGGCUCAACCUUUGAAAGCCGAUGGAUACUGUGUGGCUAGAGUACGGAAGAGGCGAGUGGAAUUCCUGGUGUAGCGGUGGAAUGCGCAGAUAUCGGGAGGAACACCUGAGGCGAAGGCGGGCUACUGGGCCGAUACUGACGCUGAGGCGCGAAAGCCAGGGGAGCAAAGCGGG